AGACAACCAAAUUUCACUUCUGUCAGGGCCUCUAUAGACCCUGAAAUUUCUCUGGAAGUGCAUGAAGUAGCAUUGUCAAGCUAAUAACACUCACAAAACACACUUCGACGUAGCAUAUCAUUGCUGUAAUUUUCUGGUACAAAACUCACACAAGGAAGGGCUUACAAUGGAGGAAGACACACACAAACUGCUGCUGUUUCUUCUUCUCUGUUACUUCCCCGGUUUCUGCUCACUUUCGACUGCUACCCACUGCCCUUCUCUCAAUAAUUUCAGCUCCAUGUAACCUACCACUUGGAAAAAAUAAUACACUUAACACACAUUCAACUCUAGCUAACAUUAAGCUAACUCUAGCCAACUAGCCUUACAGCACAGUAACAUUAACAGUUGGUCCUGUCGGAAAAAAAGAGAUGAUAUUUGUAUAGGUAUUUUGUCAAUCAAUUUCUUACAUAAACAAAAACAAUUUUUUGUGGUCUAUAAAUUGAUCCUAUUGUUUGUUUUAAUUUAACCUUUUAAUGUGCUCUAAGGAGAAAAUUCAGCGUUAACCAUUGAGGUAGUGGAUUGAGAGCAGACUCAUCACAGGUUUAGGCCAAGAGCUCUUUCACAAGCAGAAACUGUUCCCAAUCAUCUGUGCAAACCAGCCACCAUUGUUUACCACAAUUUAAUUGUAAAAUGAGACUUCAAUGCUUGUUGCAAGCUAAGGAAGAAAUGUAAUGUGGAUGUACCAUGAGUGACACAUGCUUAAAAACUGCAUAUCCUGUCGAUAAUCACCACCUGUAAGUAUAAAACGAUUACUAUUAUAAGUUGAUAAGUGUCACGACCCGAAUCCCGGAUCCAUGACCGACACAUAGGCAAGGUUCCCCUCAAAGGUUCCAUACCUAUGCGAACCCAAACUUACACACAAACUUAUCCUAACUCAAUCAGAGUUCAACGCAGCAUUAAUAACAAAAUCAACUUCAUAAUAUAAUUGAAUUGUCUUAAUACAAGAGUUAAUAUAAUGCAGAGUUUUGGAGCACUAACUUGACAUUAAAGGAAGGUACAAAUUACAACCAAAAAGCAGGUUCGGAAGGUUCAACAAAAUGACCUGCUAUCAAGCUAUAAGCCUGAAAAGGAUAAAUAAUGAGAUGGUGAGUUCAACAACUCAGUGAGUAGAUAACGUUCAAUAUACACACACGAGGUAAUAAAACAAUGAGAAAUAUAUAUACAAGUAUGGCUUUAGGUUCUUAUGGAAAUGUUUCUCAAAUUGACCAUAACAAGAAUGUCAUAUGGUAAAACUCGUCAGAAAAUCAAAUGCAAUGAGCAUGAGGCUCCGUACUGUGGGAUGAUCAGUCCACACAGGUUGGUGACUCCCUCGACCAACUAGGGUUCAGAUACAAUGUGCACAAAGACUAACACUACCCUGUUAGCAUGGGUAUUCUGACUGACAUACCAUAGGUUCAUAAUCAUAAUCUAACAAACAUAUUCAUAUCUCAAAGCUCAACUCAUGACAUCAAUAAAAUGAAGAGCUAUCAAUUCAGAGGUCAAUUCAAAAUAUAUGUUGGUUCAUAUCAAGAAUUCAGAUUCAAUAAUUGAUCAUGCUUUAUCAUAACAAGGAUAAUAAUCAACAUAUAUAUUAUUAAGAAGCAUGAUUCAAUUCAUAUUAACAAAUCAAAUAUUUAUACUAUUUCUCAUGCAUAUGGAAAAUUAUCCACUCAUCUGACUCGAAAGCAACAAAACUCAAAGCUGAUAUCGAAGGAAAUCCUACUGACGUCCCGCCGGUAGAAUAUCAGGAUUAUCUGAAUACAAAUGAGACAUGUUCAAGAAUGACUCAAAAAAACAUAUAACCUAUUUAAUACACUUAUCUAAGGGUGUAUUCCAUAACCCUAUAUGUUUUUGAACUAACUAGUCAAUUUUCUCAAAAACCCAAAAUUUAACGGUUUUCCCGAAAUCUAAUCCAUAAUAAAACAACUAAUAAAAUUGAUAAUAAUUCACUAAAUAACCCUCAAUUAUUCAUCAAAUCAAUCUGCAAAAAUUAAUAUUACAGCUAGGGACUAAUCUGUAAUUUAUCCUAUUUUUAAGGGUCAAAUUGCAACUUUUGUCAAAUUGAAGGACCAAACUGAAAUUUGUCAUAAAUCCAUUACUAUACUGAAUUUCUGACCAUAAUUAGUCCUCAUUUCUGUCCAGAUCAUCUCAUUAUACUCCAAGGACCAUUCUGGAAUUUUACCAAAUUUUUAGGGUCAAAUUGUAAUUUUUGUCAAAUUGGAGGACUAAAUUGAAAGUGUUAAAAUUUCAUAACUAUACUAGAAUUCUGCCCUUAAUUCAUAUAUUAUUCUGUUCAGAAUCUCGGAAUAGGCUCCAGGGACCAAUCUGUAAAUUUUCCAAAGUUUGGGGACUAAAAUGUAAUUUUCCAAAAUUGAGGGACCAAACCGAAAUUGUCAUCUUCAACCUCAAACCCAGAAUUCUCACAGAUUACCUACUGUUCUUGCCAAAUUUCUAACUCAACAUUCACCAUUUACACAAUUCAUAACUCAAAAUCAUCACAAUCUUCCAUAAUCAACUCAUUAAUCAAUUACCCAUAACAAUCAACCUUAUAACAUUCAAUUUAAUUCAUCAAUUAACCCAAAACACAAAUUUUCAAAACCCUAACAUUCAUCAAAACUGAAAUUAAAGCUUAAUUAACACAUAUUUAUACAUAAUCUUACCUUUAAACUUAUUUUCUUCAACUCCUUUCUAUUUCCCUUCUAAUUUCCCUCUUUUCUCUUCUUCUUCUUCUUUCUCCCUUCUCUCUCACGGUUUGCUCUCUCAAAUAUUCAGAUCUCCUUUUUUUUUUCUUCUUUCUAUUUAUAUUUAUCAUCUCUUUAUUCAAUUACUACUAUACCCCUCAUUCAUUUAUUCCAAC
rnacentral:lncRNA from 1 species